AGCGAACGCUGGCGGUAGGCCUAACACAUGCAAGUCGAACGGCAGCACAGUAAGAGCUUGCUCUUACGGGUGGCGAGUGGCGGACGGGUGAGGAAUACAUCGGAAUCUACUUUUUCGUGGGGGAUAACGUAGGGAAACUUACGCUAAUACCGCAUACGACCUACGGGUGAAAGCAGGGGAUCUUCGGACCUUGCGCGAUUGAAUGAGCCGAUGUCGGAUUAGGUAGUUGGCGGGGUAAAGGCCCACCAAGGCGACGAUCCGGAGCUGGUCUGAGAGGAUGAGCAGCCAGCCUGGGAGGGUGACAGGCUACAGUGGGCUUGGGAUACGGGCAAUACGGAUAAGGGAGCAAGGAGUGGGAAAUAGUGCCAAACGGGCCGAAGGGGGAAGGAGGGCCUUCGGGUUGGGGAUGACGGUUUGUUGGGAGUAAAAAGCUGCAGGUUGAGACGCAGCUGUUGUGACGGUACCCAGAGAAUAAGCACCGGCUAACUACGUG
rnacentral:rRNA from 1 species